rnacentral:rRNA from 1 species
CCUGGCUCAGAAUCAACGCUGGCGGCGCGCCUAACACAUGCAAGUCGAACGAGAAAGUGGAGCAAUCCAUGAGUACAGUGGCGUACGGGUGAGUAACACGUGGGUAAUCUACCUUUUAGUGAGGAAUAACCGAAGGAAACUUUGGCUAAUACCGCAUAGGCCCGAGAGGGGAAAGCAGAAAUGCGCUGAAAGAGGAGCCCGCGGCCGAUUAGCUAGUUGGUGGGGUAAGAGCCUACCAAGGCAGAGAUCGGUAGCCGGCCUGAGAGGGCACACGGCCACACUGGCACUGAAACACGGGCCAGACUCCUACGGGAGGCAGCAGUGGGGAAUCUUGCACAAUGGGGGAAACCCUGAUGCAGCGACGCCGCGUGAGCGAUGAAGCCCUUCGGGGUGUAAAGCUCUUUCGUCAGGGAAGAUAGUGACGGUACCUGGAGAAGCAGCUGCGGCUAACUACGUGCCAGCAGCCGCGGUAAUACGUAGGCAGCAAGCGUUGUUCGGAGUUACUGGGCGUAAAGGGUGUGUAGGCGGUUCUUUAAGUUUGGUGUGAAAUCUCCCGGCUCAACUGGGAGGGUGCGCCGAAUACUGAGGGACUAGAGUACGGGAGAGGAAAGUGGAACUCCUGGUGUAGCGGUGAAAUGCGUAGAUAUCAGGAGGAACACCGGUGGUGUAGACGGCUUUCUGGACCGACACUGACGCUGAAACACGAAAGCGUGGGUAGCAAACAGGAUUAGAUACCCUGGUAGUCCACGCCCUAAACGAUGCAU